AGACAGCAUAUGCUGUCU
rnacentral:misc_RNA from 1 species